rnacentral:lncRNA from 1 species
UUAAGUAUCAUGAGAGACAUUUGAAACUUGACCUAAUUGAAUCAGAGCAGAUUUGAUCAGCUAUAGUUUUUUUUUUUAACAGAAUAAAAUACAUAUAUUUAAACACAAUUACAUUCACACAGAUUAUUAUAUCAUGGAUCUUAAGAAACAGAUUAAGUGACUCCCUCUGGGGAAGUAGAAUGGAAAAUAUGCUGAGACAAAUAGGAAAUUUACUCUAUACUUUAUCCCAUUUUGUAUGGCUUUCAUCUUUACUAUUUAGUAUUAUCUAUUACAUUUCAAUUUUUCUUUAAAAUUAGCAUUAUAUUAAAAUUGUGUAUAUUAUGCAACUUAAAUUUAUAAAGAAAGCCUUAUAUACCAUUAAAUAUUUUAUAUAGCAUAAUAAAAAGAAUAACUCUUCGGUUAUUUUUUAUCUAAAAUUACAAAAUAGUGAGAGAACUUCCAUAGAGAAAGGAAAAGUAUAGAAGGAGGAAUAAGACUCAGAACACCCCAGUGGGCCACAUUUGCAGCUUUGUGACUUUCCCAGUUUCAUCACCUAGAAGGAUCUCACAAUACCUUUCUCCAGCCCUGCUCCAGUGCAGGUCAACCUCCACCUGUGCUCUCCAUUCCUCAUUACUGCCUCAGCCCAAAGUAAUCACCCUACCCAUCUCAACUUCUCCAGUGCAAUCUGUUUUAAAAUUAAGUACUCCUUUGUGAUAUCACUUUUCUGCUAUCAAAGCAUCAUUCAAUAUUAGUAUCUUUUAAAUAUGCACAGUUUAUUGCCCUGAUUUGAUUAUAAAUUCCUUGAGAGAAAGUUUUGUGUCAUUCACCCCAGAGUGUUCCCACAAGACCCUGGUAAGUUGCCAGAGUGGGCCCUGUUUUUUCAUCUGUAGAAUGGGGAUAAUGAUAGUGCUUAUUUUAUAGACCUAUUGUGAGAAGAAAAUGCAAUCGUGAGGAGUAAAUUAAGUGUGAUUCAGUAAGUGUUGAAUAGCAUAUUUUAUUAAUACUCUUAACAUUAUAUUAAGACAAAAUACAGGGCUAAAAAUAAGCAAAACCAAAAGCUGGUUCCACCUGUACCAAGUAGUAGCUUUGUGACUUUCAGAAAGUCAAGUAAAUUCUCUCAGCCUUAAAUUAUUCACUCAUAAAAAUCAUAAAUGCAAUAAUCUGCCAACUUUCUGUUGUUGUGAAGAUCAAAUAAAUACUUUUAGGGUGUUUUACAAAUGUAUCAUUUAUUGUUACUCAGUAAAUAUUUGAUUUGAGAAUUAUGUUGUCCUUACUUUAUCACACAAACAGCUUGUUUUUCUCCCCUUUGAGGCUGACAGGUCACCAGUAACGCAUCUUAUGGGCUUAGAGGGAGAAAAGCAGUACUUUGGAUCCUCUGAAUUUCCAAAAACUUGUUUGUGUUCUGGUGAUGCCCAGCAUCCUGGCCUCCUAUGGUCAUAGUCCAGGCUUAUCAGUGUUCUACAACACCAGAGCAAUCAAAAUAAAAAACGUAAAAUUUCUACUACCUAAGCUGUUGUUUUGUUUAAAGCAAGUAAAAUGUAGCUUUAAAUAGCCAGUUGAUCAACUCUGCCGGCAUAAUUGGCAAUGCCCAUACACUCCCUUGUGAGAGAAUCAGAAGAGAGCCGGAAAGCACCAAACACCCCAGGUAUGUCCUAGGGUGCCUCCCUUGGGGACAAAAACUUUCUCCAGCCUAAGUACAGAGGAGCCUCAGCACAGGCCCAGAAUGGGGUUCCCAGCCCAUGCCUAGGCAAGGCCAUCACUUUUAGGAAAAGUUAAGUGCAUCACAGAUUAAAUUGCACAAUUUGAUUUCCUUACUUCUUAUGGCCUAAACUUAUUCCUUUACUUGCAAACCAUAAAUACAAUCAUUCUUAUCUUUCCAAUUUCAUGUUAGCAUGUAUUAGAUGCCAGAGGCCAUCUAAGUUAUGUUAGCAACACACCAAAUAUUCAUUCGUCUAUCAAAUAAUUAUUUACCAUGUCUAGGUGCAAGCCACUGGAGCAUACAAAAUGAAUGAUACAAACUGGUAUUUUUUAGAUAACUCAUCUUAGUAUCAAUGAAAAUUUGUUUAUCUGGUGUUACCCAGCCAUAGUUUACAAUGUUUCCACCAAUAGUACUUUGGGGGAAAAAAGGAAAGCAUUACUCAGGUAAUAACACAUGGUUAAAAUAUAGAAUCUAGUGUUAUCUCUUCAUUAAAGACAAUGAAAGAUAUAAGAUUAUUUGGAAAAAUUAUUUGAUAUCCUGAUAUGCUCACACUCAUGGCUUCCUAUUUUCACUGUACAAGUGUAUUUUUAUCAGGUAUAGCAAACAACCCAAUAAAAAGGUAAAGUAUGGUUGAAGUAUACAGGCUUUAUGAUACUUCUUGAAAUUACUCUGCUUUUAUAGAGGAUGAUAUUCAUGCUGGAACAGCUAUAAAAAAUAUGGAAAUGUAAAAGAAGAGAGAUUAAAUAUGGGAUUUAUCUAUGAGCCCUGGCACAUUAAACCCUUAACAUAUUUGAAAUAUGACAACCACCUAGAUCCUCAACAUCAGGAUCAUACAGGGAAUUCUAAUGGUGACCUGCGCCUUCUCUUCCAAGAGUUGAAUUUUUGUUGUUUUAAAGAUUUUUUACAUAUUUGCUCAACUUGCCCAAUUACAGUACCUUGUCAGUUUAACCAGUAAGAUGAAAACAUUUGAUAUUUGUGCUGCUAGGUUACCCACCCUGACCUGACAUACAACAAGCAAAAGCUGGUCCUUGGCUUCCCCUUUCAGAUUCCCACAAAGUGGGAGCCUAGGCUAUGCCAUCAGGCUGGAAAUGGCAGCAGCAGCCGCCGCUGCAGCAAUCAUUGGGCGACAGGCAGGAUGCCCAGUUCUAAAUCCUCUGCCCAUGAAACACGCUGUACUGGUGCAUCAAAGUGGGGUCAGUCUUGAAUCUGCAAGCUGUUGGGGAACAACACGUCAUUCCUCCAUCUGUUACCUAUAGUGGCCUCCUAAUAAAGGUGCCAGCUGACAUCCUGGUCCUCUGCAGAGGGUGGUAAGAAAAGGCUAGUGCACCAAUCAUAUAUCAUUUCUGCAGGAUUGAAGAUAUGAUCAUCGGGAACUAUCAAGACCUUGGAAAAUAAAACCAGAGUGGUUGGAUGGGCAGCAAAAGAAUGAAAAGCAUGCCUGUAUUAAGCAGACCUGAGAGAAUGGCUGUAAGAGAGGUUUUAGUGUGGGCUUGGGAAAAAGAGGAAGGGGAAGUGAGAACAAAGAGAAAUCAUGGGCACCAAGGGACCGCUGGGGAGUAGAAGGUAAAGAGGUGAGAGACGAGGCAUACUUCCCAAAUCUGUCUUUCCUCUUCUUUCCACUGGGCAUCUUCUAGCUCUUCGCUUAUAUCUCACAUAUGCCACAUGAGUUGGUAGAUUAAAGCAACCUGGUAAUUAAUUUUUAGAAUAAAAAGACCCCAAAGAGUUCCAAUUUAAAAUGGCAUCUGGCUAAUGGCCCUGAUAUAGUCUCUUCCACUAAAACACACACACACACACACACACACACACACACACACACACUAAAAGAAAAAUAUUUACAUUGCCACCAAAAAUUGAGAUUGACCGUCAACUCCUUACCACUAACUGCAAGGUCACUGAACCUGGAUUUUUAAAGGCAAUUAGUGGCCACCUGUGAUUGCCACCAGGCUUAGAGAAAGCCCCUGUGUCUGAGGUUAGAAAGGCCCAUUAUACCUUCCCCACUGUCUGCCACCUGGCUCAUUAAAUAGACAGCCAAUCUUCUACUAUUAAGUGCUUUUUUAAAACUGGAGUGUUAUUUUCCUUUUACAUCCAACCCUUCAGAUACCCAGAAAGAAUCAGUCUGCAAAAAAGGAAUGAGGAAGCAAGUUUUGGAGGGGCCUCAUUCCAACCAGGAAGGUGUCCCCAUGAAGAAGGCACAAUAUCACAGAAGAGAGGGCAAAAAAAUCUCUGGCUACCAUAUACACUGAAUAGUACAAAUUUCAUGCCAGAGAGAAAGGUAACGAUGGCAGGGAAGACAUGGAAUGAAAACAUGCCAGACACCAGAAAUCCAGCUACAAAUGUGUGACAUCGAUUUACCUUUUGGAUGUAGCUCUGUAGAGGGAACUGAACCCAUAUUCAAGUGAACAGAAAAUAGAACCUGUGAAAACACCAAAUCUGGAUAGAUCUCCUAUGUUAAGAAAAGUGACAAAAAGAAUAACUAACAAAUGUAUUUUGAUAAAUGACAUAGAAAUAGAGAUAGAGACUAUCACCCUAAAGACUCAGAGGGAGCACAGACCUCCAAAAAUGAUUUAUCACAGGAAUUGAAAGAAAUUUUCAGAGAAAGUUUUUCCAUCUUCAAUAGAAUUCAAGAAGUCAUAGCCUCUCUGAGACAGGAAUAGAUAUCCAAGAUAUGAGAAUAGGUCAUGAGAAAAAGAGACUAAGGUAAGAUGAAAAUAAAAAUGUAUGAGAAAAAAAAAAGGAUUUAUGUUAUUGUAAAUCAAUAAUACUUCAAUUUUUAAAAAUAAAUGAAAGCUCUAAAAGGAAUUCUUACAACUCAAUAGCAACAACAAUAAAAAUGGGCAAAGGACUUGAAUACACAUUUAUCCAAGGAAGAUACCAACAAGCACAUGAAAAGAUGAUCAACAUCACUAACCCUCAGAGAAAUACAAAUCAAAACCAUAAUGCAAUAUCACCUCAAGCCCAUUAGGAUGGCCUCAAUCAAAAAAAGCAGAAAAUAGGAGUUCCCAUCGAGGCUCAGUGGUUAACAAAUCCAACUAGGAACCAUGAGGUUGUGGGCCUUGAUCAGUGGGUUAAGGAUCCAGCGUUGCCAUGGGCUGUGGUGUAGGUCACAGACUCGGAUCGAUCCCUGUUGUUGUGGCUCUGGCGCAGGCCGGCAGCGACAGCUCCGAUUAGACCCCUAGCCUGGGAAUCUCCAUAUGC